CUAAAAUCGAUUCCAUCUUGGUAUCCUCCAAGUGUAUUGCUCUUAUUUACUUAAAGGAAUCCAAUUGCAAGGAUUGCUGGAAAAACGACCUGCAGCCAAAAAAGGUGUUUUGAGGUUUUGAGAGAAGAGGAUUUAAAAUUUUGUUUUUGGUGUCCGGCAAAGGCCAAGCAAGAAGGAAAUCUACGUUUGGUGUUUUUGGGUAGCUUGAUUCAUUCCUUGAAGACCGUAUAGUCAGUUUUGCCUUGAGAUUUGUUUUUCAAUAAAUUACCUACGUAAAGUUGAAGAUGUCGUUUCAUCGGUUGUUUUUGCAAGAAUCUUACAAAUUUCUGGAUUUUGAAGGAAAAUCACUCAAAUGAUUUAUUAUAAAUACAAAAUUUAGAGACAUCAAUAGAGACAUAUCAUUUUGUUAUCAAAAAAUACAUUGCCAUUUUCUUUUUACAGAAGCAAAAUUUUCUUGAGGAGUGGGAAAUCGAUUCCUUGAUUGCUACAGUUGUUUCAUUACCAUCAAUGCCGACUGAAAAACUUGCUAGUCUCCCUGCAAAUCCUGUGAACUUGCGAGCGGCGCAAAUUGGAACAAUUUAUAUGCGAACAAUAUAUAGUUCAAUACUUGUUCUCAGUGCUUGUGGGUAUCCUCUUCCGCCAUCACAAGUGUUCAUUCAUCCGUAUUUUGAUGGAAAAUUACAUCAAAAAAUGUACUCGUAUUCCCAAUUUAAAAAGAAUACAUUUCCUCACAGUUGGAUGGAUUCCGAUCAGGUACAAAAUAAAAUUAUCCUUUUUUUCUGUGUUUGUCGUUUCCAGAAGAAAAAUUUCGUUUUGCUCUUCAGUUCAUGCUGAACUGAGAGAGUACUCUUAAAAUGUGAAGAGUGACCUUCAACUCCCUUCAGUGUUAAAAUACCUGACACCAUCAGAGCAUUCAUUGGCAUUGCUUGUCAGGGAAAGAAAUUUUACUCUCAAAUGUCAAGGAAAACGAGCAAAAGUCAAGAGAAUACUUUUUACUCAAAAUUCAUGUUGAAAACACAGAAAAAGGCAAAGGAUUUCAUGGAUUGGACUGGAGUUUUUUUUUCCUCUCUCCAUUUUGCUCUGCAUUUUGAUUGUUCAUGAUUAUCCAAUCAAAGAUUUAGAAAAUCAUAACUUUGAUGAAGAAAAGAGAUCUUUUAAGUGAAGUAUUAAUGGACUACAUUUUGCAGUUAUGAACUACAAUUUCAGGCUCAGUUUAGGAACAAUAUGUGUACGAUUAAUUCCCUACGCAUGUGAGUGUUUUUACGAAUGAGUUAGAAAUUGUAGUUCCAAAAUGCAAAAUGUACUCCAAUAAACUCUAGAAUUGUUUAUUUUUCAGACACAUUUUGUUGAAUUUUCCAUUGAAAUAGUCAGGAUUAUGUUGUUCUUUGGCAUCAAAAACCCUGGAAAUAUCAGACAAUUUGGCUUCAGAAGUGUUUCUUUAUCUUGGCAAUAUGUUUGCUGAUCCAAUUACAAAUUAAGGAUGUAAAAGUAGACUUCGGAGCACGGUAGAGUGUCUGAAGCUAUAAGCAUUUCCUGCCUCUACCUGUAAGUGGGCUGGUAGCAAAACUUCAAACACCCUUACCUCCUUCAUACGUCAUUUAUAAUCAACCGCCUGUUCCGUUCAUACAUCAAUGUUUUGAUGGCAAGGAAUUUUUGAAGGAUUGUAGUAUGGUUUUUUUAUGUACAAUUUAGUGAAAAAACCACUAAGUUCAUCAAAGAAUUCAAAAAAUUAUUUCCAUAAGGCAAAAAAGCUAAUCUUUAGUCAGGGAAUGACAGAAAAACUGGAAAAUGUCAGGGAAAAGAUGAAAGAAUCAAGGAAAAAUUGUUAAUCCACCUUUAUUUGCUUUCUAAAAUGGGUUUGACGUUUUGAAGAACUAAUUUUGUCAAGAAACUAUUUCAGAUUGUGUCUCUUCAACUAUCUGGCAUAUUUUCAAUUGUCAGGGAAUUUUACUCAUGUGUCAGGAAAAUGUUAGGGAAUUUCAUUUCCUAAAUGUGGCAACCCUGUAAUCAGAAUCAGACCAAUCAAAAGCUGCCAGUCGAGUUGACAUUUGGUUGACAUUGCAAGGCAAUGCCUGAAUAUGAGUGCAGCCAAUCAGCGAACACUGUUUUCCCCGUUGUAAUCAGUGCUCACCAAAAAUAUUGUUUCCAGCAGGUCCCGUUUUUGGCAUUUUCAAAAUUGGUUUUUUUGCCAUUAAGGGUUGAAAAAAAUCUGAGAAAAUUCCUAUGAGCUUAGUUCACUUUAGAGAAAAUAAGUUUCAAGAAAAAAAAUGGUACCACUGACUCAUUGUCUAAUUCACUUUAUAUUUACUUCAUUUUAUAUUAUUUUUGGCUUCUGUUUCAGGACUUGGGUUCUGAUCUGGAGAGAAAUCGUCAGCUUUCACUUUUUCUCAAAUCAAAGCAAGAGUGUUUCCUAUCGCUGUAAUUUGAUUACUGCAGGUUAGACACAUAUUUCGAAACUUCCAAUUUGUAUUUCGAUUUUGUUAGAUUGAACUCAAGUGAGAAAGUUAAAAAACAUUUCAAUGGCUAAAGUGCGAAACCACGGAUCUCUGUUUGCAAUGUAGCAGACUUCCCGUCAUACCGACAUACUUUAUUUUUUCUCUGGAAAACUAGUGAGCGUAAUUUAUUGAAAAUCUUUCUGACUUUUCUUCACUGUUAGCAAAAUAUUUUGCAUGGAUUUCGAAACUGAACAAAUGGCUCGUCUCUCUUUGAAAACACGAAAUAGGAGCGGAAAUUAUGAAACUUUGCAAUGGAGGUACGCAGUUUCCCACUUUAGUCAUCGAUUGUCAGAAAUGGUACAUCAAUUAUUUUAGAGUUUGAAGGCUCAAUUUGAAUUUAGUGCAAGGGUGUGGUAUGUGCAGCAGAUUUUCUUAUAAUCGUAUCAUGAAGAUCCAUACCUGAAGGUCUUUAAAGUUAACUACUGAUCAAAUAUUUGACUGUGAUAACGUAGGUACCCAUUUUCUUUCUAUUUCAUUGAGUUUUUAUUAUUUAUAUUUUGAUUUGUUCAAUUUUACCUUUCUUCUACAGUUAAGGUUCUUGUUUUAGUACAAAUUUAAUAAUACCAGGGAGCUAUUGAAUCAUUAAUUCUCCAAAAAUUUUAGUGCCAGGUAAAAUAUACAAGAAAAAAGUAGAAACUUUACUAAUUGACCUGUUUUAAGUGGUAGAUUAAUUAAUUGAUUGAUUUAUCACUUGAAUAUUAUGGAGCCCUAGAGAUUUAGAACGGGCGUGUCACUACAGUUUCUACUGUUCCUCUCAUAUUCUCAUUUCUGGCACCUUAGUCAUCCUACAGUCAUUAAUGGUUCAAAUUUAUUUUUUAUUUUUAAUGAACUUGUGCUUGUUAUGUUCUCUCUUUUAUUUUCAUUAUUCCUUCAUUAUUAUGUAUCCAUUAUUUUCUUUUAUCAACUAUUAAUUGAUAGGUAAUGAUUUUUGUACUUGAUUUAAGUUUUCUUUAGUCUAGGUUUUUAUCAAUUUAUCUCUUUCAUUCAACUAAGCUGAUCUCAUGACAGAAACACGAGUAAUAAACUCCUGAUAACAGUUUUCAAAAAUUACAAAGUUAAGGAAGCAUAGUUUCUGCUUUAUUCUUUUUUUCUUACAGCCUAAUUUGUUCAAUUUCUAAUUAAGUAGUUUUCAACCAGUGUUGGCAAUUUACAGCAAUAUUUCAACCAUUUCAAUACCAACGCUAUCAGCCAAUGUAUAGUGCAGUAAAUCUUGUUUUCCAGAGAUUAUAUUUUUUGUAAAAUUUCAUUAACAUUUAUAAUAAUCGACAUUCUGUGCGAAUACUUUCAAGUUAUUGAGUCUCAUAAAUUUUCAUUUAUUGCAGCUUUAUUUUUUGGUUAUUUUCCUGUCUUUACUUUUGAAGGUAUUUUGUCAAUUCUUCCUCAGAUGUUUUGAACACUUCAAUAUCGCACUGCAUACUUGUUCUUAUCAAAUUGAAAAAAGUCAAUCUAUCCAAAUAAUAAUUGAAAGGACAAUCCUCUUUUUUGUAUCAAACGAUAGAAGACUUGAUUAAAACCCCUCCACUCUGUAAAAUCAAUUAUGUAAGUUGUUUAAUGGAUUGACUUAAUUUUUUUAUAAAAUCCUCUCAAUUUUGUUUACAUACCUAUUACGCAUUUUUGUUCAGUUACAAAUUAAAAACAAAUUCAUUUUAUUUUCUUUGCAUUUUACAUUUAUUGAAUCAAUU
rnacentral:lncRNA from 1 species